UACGGAGGGAGCUAGCGUUGUUCGGAAUUACUGGGCGUAAAGCGCGCGUAGGCGGCUACUCGAGUCAGAGGUGAAAGCCCGGGGCUCAACCCCGGAACUGCCUUUGAAACUAGGUAGCUAGAAUCUUGGAGAGGUCAGUGGAAUUCCGAGUGUAGAGGUGAAAUUCGUAGAUAUUCGGAAGAACACCAGUGGCGAAGGCGACUGACUGGACAAGUAUUGACGCUGAGGUGCGAAAGCGUGGGGAGCAAACAGG
rnacentral:rRNA from 1 species